AGUAGGAAUUACACUUUUCUACCUCCCACCCCACCAGUGAGGAGGCUGGGAAUGCGCAAGGAGCUGGGAGGAGCACAGCCAGGAGAGCUGACCUCAAGAGACCAGACCAUAUGGAGUCAUGCUCAGUACAUAAACUGGGAGAAGAAGAACAAAGGAGGGGAGGUUCAGAGUGAUGGUGUUUAUCUUCCCAUGUCACUGUUCCACAUGAUGGUGUCCUGCUUUCCUGGAGAUGGCUGAACACCUGCCUGCCCAUGGAACAUGAGAAUGCUAUGAAUUGCUGGGGACUCAGACCAAGUUUUCUUACAUGUUGACAGAAAACUCAGCAGAAAGGGAACCCGGAGACAUCCUCCAUUGAUGUGCAGCCUCCUGAGUUCCAGCAAAGGCACUUGGCCUGCACAAGCAGCUUGAAUAUGGCAGGAGCUGAAGUAACCGGUGAAGAACAAGCCCAGGCAGCAAGCAAUUCAAGAGCAAUACGGGAGGAAUACUGUGUCUAGCAAGCCCGUCCCAAAGAUAAGUUGGGUUACCGAUGGGUGGCAAAGGGUAGUGCUGCACAUCAAAACCGGGUGAAAUCCUGGUCCCACGGAAGUUGGUAGGAGAACUUGCAUGGAAACCUCUCCCACCAAUUACAAUUGUAAACCGUGACAGAGAAGCACGCUACUAAUAAUGGUAAUUUUAAUAGCAGACACAUGUUCACUAACACAUUCAUUAGAAUUAUGCUUUAGGUGAAUGCGCUUUGUUAACACUAAACAGAAGGUGGCUCUGAGAGCUCCAAAAGGGUUUGCUCCAAGGUGUGGAACUGCUCCUGAAUCAAAAAUGGGCUCUGGUACUUCAGCGAGCACAGUGAUGUGCCUGCUUGCAGAUGUACGCAUCACUCAUGAAAUUAACCUUUCAGAUAUACAAGGUAUCACAGGUUAGAUUAAAUACUUGGAAAAAAGAGCCAAGAUGGUAUUCGUUCUAUUAAUUUAAUUAAUUUUCUAUUCCUUCCACGGAAAACCACUUUCUUUUUCAGCAGAUUUAGUUUAUCAGCCUAAUCUGGGGUACAUUUGCCUCAUUUGCUUCUCUACAGAAUUCUAUGUAUUUGAAGUUGGUUUGGAUGGAGUUCAUAAUGUCUUUGCUCUGAGCUGUUUAAUUUUUCUAAUGAAUAAACUUUAA